CCUACGGGUGGCAGCAGUGGGGAAUAUUGCACAAUGGGGGAAACCCUGAUGCAGCGACGCCGCGUGAGUGAAGAAGUAUUUCGGUAUGUAAAGCUCUAUCAGCAGGGAAGAAAAUGACGGUACCUGAUUAAGAAGCCCCGGCUAACUACGUGCCAGCAGCCGCGGUAAUACGUAGGGGGCAAGCGUUUUCCGGUUUUACUGGGUGGAAAGGGAGCGUAGACGGCAGCACAAGUCUGGAGUGAAAUGCCGGGGCUUAACCCCGGAACUGCUUUGGAAACUGUGCAGCUUGAGUGCAGGAGAGGUAAGUGGAAUUCCUAGUGUAGCGGUGAAAUGCGUAGAUAUUAGGAGGAACACCAGUGGCGAAGGCGGCCUACUGGACUGUAACUGACGCUGAGGCUCGAAAGCGUGGGGAGCAAACAGGAUUAGAUACCCCGGUAGUC
rnacentral:rRNA from 1 species